rnacentral:rRNA from 1 species
GUGCCUGCGGAAGGAUCAUUACCGAGUGCGGGCCCUCUGGGUCCAACCUCCCAUCCGUGUCUAUCUGUACCCUGUUGCUUCGGCGUGGCCACGGCCCGCCGAAGACUAACAUUUGAACACUGUCUGAAGUUUGCAGUCUGAGUUUUUAGUUAAACAAUAAUUAAAACUUUCAACAACGGAUCUCUUGGUUCCGGCAUCGAUGAAGAACGCAGCGAAAUGCGAUAAUUAAUGUGAAUUGCAGAAUUCAGUGAAUCAUCGAGUCUUUGAACGCACAUUGCGCCCCCUGGUAUUCCGGGGGGCAUGCCUGUCCGAGCGUCAUUGCUGCCCUCAAGCACGGCUUGUGUGUUGGGCUUCCGUCCCUGGUAACGGGGACGGGCCCAAAAGGCAGUGGCGGCACCAUGUCUGGUCCUCGAGCGUAUGGGGCUUUGUCACCCGCUCCCGUAGGUCCAGCUGGCAGCUAGCCUCGCAACCAAUCUUUUUAACCAGGUUGACCUCGGAUCAGGUAGGGAUACCCGCUGAACUUAAGCAUAUCA